GACGAACGCUGGCGGCGUGCUUAACACAUGCAAGUCGAACGAUGAAGAAAAGAAUCGAAGCUUCGGCAGAAAUUCAUUUCGGAUUAGUGGCAGACGGGUGAGUAACGCGUGAGUAACCAACCUCUUACAAAGGGAUAGCCUCGGGAAACCGGGAUUAAUACCACAUAACAUUGUGACGAAGCAUUUCGAUGCAAUCAAAGCUACGGCGGUAAGACAUGGUCUCGCGUCCCAUUAACCGGCUGGGAAGGUAACGGCACACUAUAGUGACGAUGGCUAACCGGCCAAAGAGAGGUGACUCACACACUAAAACUGAGACGCCGACCAGACUCCUACGGGAGGCAGCAGUGUGCAAUAUUGCACCAUGGAGGGAACUCUGAAGCGGCGACGCCGCGAGAAAGAUGAAGGAAUUAGAUUCGUAAAACUUUGUUCAAUAUAAAGAGAAUGACUGUACCAUAGGAGAAAGCUCCGGCUAAAUACGUG
rnacentral:rRNA from 1 species